UUGGUUUCUGCGCCUCACUGCUAUUGUAUGCUGACUAGAGUUCCUUUCUUUGAGUUACACUAUGAGAUGCUGAACAGUAUCAUUGCACAGGAGCGUUUGAAUCGGAUAACACAAUUUGUUAGUGAAGUAUCAUUGAGUUGUGUCCCUACAGCAUCCAAACAACAUGAUCAAAUGAAUAUGAAUGUUGACUACCCUGAUAGGGAAUGUGAUGUUAAUUGGAUGGCUUCUGCAAUACCUGUUGACAGUGCUGUGACCUUUACUGCUGCUGCUGCUGGAAUUGUAUCAGAUGAUGAGACCCGAAC
rnacentral:misc_RNA from 1 species